UACGUAGGGUGCAAGCGUUGUCCGGAAUUAUUGGGCGUAAAGAGCUCGUAGGCGGUUUGUCGCGUCGGCUGUGAAAGCCCGGAGCUCAACUCCGGGUCUGCAGUCGAUACGGGGCAGACUUGAGUGUUGCAGGGGAGACUGGAAUUCCUGGUGUAGCGGUGAAAUGCGCAGAUAUCAGGAGGAACACCGGUGGCGAAGGCGGGUCUCUGGGCCGUAACUGACGCUGAGGAGCGAAAGCGUGGGGAGCGAACAGG
rnacentral:rRNA from 1 species